rnacentral:rRNA from 1 species
UACGGAGGGGGUUAUCGUUGUUCGGAAUUACUGGGCGUAAAGCGCGCGUAGGCGGGCUGUUAAGUCGGGGGUGAAAUCCCGGGGCUCAACCCCGGAACUGCCUUCGAUACUGGCAGCCUUGAGGUCGAGAGAGGUGAGUGGAACUCCGAGUGUAGAGGUGAAAUUCGUAGAUAUUCGGAAGAACACCAGUGGCGAAGGCGGCUCACUGGCUCGAUACUGACGCUGAGGUGCGAAAGUGUGGGGAGAAAACAGG